UUGUCACCCAGUAAGUAUAGCCAGGUCUGGCAGGUGCUUUGGCUGGGCAAGCUCAUGGUCAGGCGGGAAGACUAGUCAGGUAUGAAGAAAUGGUGAGGCCCAGAAAGGGGACCAGGCAUGGCUCUGGAGAUCCAAAGUGACAAGAUGGUGGCCACUGGGGACGCUUGUCCUGUGCCUGGAGGACAGGAAGGUGGCAUCAGGGAAAGAGUUGCUCUGGACCCUGAACCCCCAGGGACGACCACUUCCCCUGGCCUCUGCAUCCUGGGCAGGGCUGGACCACUGGCGGCUGCUCUGUGCGGUUUGAGGACAGGACUCAAGGGCAUGGCAAAUCCCAGCUAGCGCCCCACGUGUCCUCCGCCCGCACCACCGUCUGCUAGGGGCGGGGCGCGUCAUUAUCCCAGCCUAGCGUACCGGGGCUCCUGCACUUCGGCCGGUCCUGGCUGCCGAUUGGUUGCCGAGCGUGGGAAAGCGCUCGUGCCCACGGCCCCACCGCCCGCGCCGCAUAAAGGCACCGCCGCCGCUCGCCUCGGCGUUUCGGCCACCGUCCGUGCCGUGCGCUCUGGCCCCCGCGGGCCUGGCUCCACGCGCAGCCCCCUGCCGACUCUCGAAGUAAAGAGCAGUCCGGCUCCUGGGCGGCGGCAGCGCGAGGGCGCACCCGCGGGUCUUGGCAGGGUCCGGCGGCCGCCCCUCACCAGGUCUCUGCUCUUCCCCCUGUUUGUGGAGUUCGGGGCGCCAGCCCAGCUCCGAGCUGGGGAAGUGACAUCGUGGAGACGGAGGUGGCAACAUCCCCGCCCCCGGCGGCUCGGCAAACCGCGGAUGAGUCCGGGGAAGCCGUGGCGCGCUGCCUCCGAGAAGCCUUCCCGUCCUCUCCCUGCACCACGUGCGGAUGCACACCCUGGCUGAGCUAAACAGCGACAUGCAGAAGAGAUCCCUGCCGCGGCCUGAAAGCAGCGCGCCCCCUGCGCCCCUGGCCACAAGGGCCCCAGUGGCAGUUGCCAGACCCCUUGGACGGAGAGGAGAGGGCUGGGGCUGGCGGGGCGCAGCGCUCCUCCUGCAGUAGGGAAUUUUGUUUCCCCUCCUAUUUGCUGUCUGGCACUAGAGCCCAGGCUGAGCAGCCCAGCCUGCCAGCUGGUGGGGCCCUCAGCUGGCGCCAGUGCCCCAGGUCUUCCUCCUGAAGGAGGGGUCCUGAGGGCAAGGGUUUUGUAUGUCACAGCUGCUGUAAAUGGUCAAGAUUGUCCAUGGCAGAGGGAGCUGGGGCAGCCACUUCUGCCUGAUCAGCACAGCCAGGCCCUGCGUCUGGACCUCUGCUUCUUCCAAGUUGGGAAAGAACUGGAUGCUUUAUGUUAAAGCAGGGGUGGGGUGGGCUGGGGGAAAUGCUGUGCAUUGGAAGGGCAGGGCCCCGUGCUGGACACCGGGGGAGGUGUGGGGCUGCCGUGGCAUCCUGGUGGGAUGCAGGUGUAUCCAGUGGUCAAUGGUGGAUGUGCGUGGGUAUGGACAGCAUGUGCCUCAGAGCUGGACCACGUGGAGCUUGAAUAAAGGUGCUGGACUGAGCCUCUGCCAGGUCUCUGCCCCGUCCCCCGAGUCUGACUGCCACCCCUGAGAUUCAGGCCCCCUGCCUAGGGUGUAGGGAGGGAUCUGGGGCCUCCGGGGAUGGGUCACUGUGCCAAGGGUAUCCUGGGCUGGACCCUUGCCCUGCUGGCUUCUUCCCUGAACCGUGGUCAAGGCCCAGCCUGCCCCCCUGGCCUCCAGUGACAGGGAAGACCCUCAGGGAUGGGCUGAGCCAGAGACAGCUCCUUCUGUCCUCGGGCCGCCUGGGGGGAGCCUCCCGAUUACCUUGAGCCCCCUGUGGGCCAGGCAGUGUGCUAGCUGUCACAUUGUGGGUUCCGAAAUCACCUUCCCAACAUCCUGGAGGCGAGGACGUCAUUGUCCCCAUUCGAAGAUGAGCAAACAGAGGCCCCUGCAGACUCAGGGAUGGUGCCAAGGACACGCAGGGCCCCGGGGGUGGGCUGGUGCCCCUCAGCAGUGGGGGCUGGCACCUGCUCCCACCGUGGCCGCUUAGCGUGCACUGAGCAGAGUGGGGAGUGCACCUCCCUCAGCGUCUCUCCUCCUGGUCCCCCAAAUCUCGUCCCCUAUUGAUUCCCCGGGAUAAGUGCUUCUCCCAAAGCAGGGGCAGGGCUGAGAAGUCACUUCAUCCUGGGCACGGCCCAGCGUCCCUUACUGGAUCAGAACCCGGCGGGGAGCACCCUGCAUUUUGCUGGGGUGGGGGUGGGGUGGGGAUGGACAAUCUUAAAGGGAAUGUGACCCCAAGCCCCCACCCCACCUGGUGCCUUGCCUUUGUGGUAUGGAGGCCACAGACACCGCCCAGGAGAAACCAGAGCACAGGCUGGCUCUGGGGUUUGCUGCCCCCUGGCGUCUUGCAGCCUGUCCAUGGGGAAAGCCUGGCUGGAGCAUCUGCAGCCCCCAGGAAGGGAAGGCGCUCUGAGGUCUCCCCCCGUUGGAGGCGAAGGGAGAGGUCCCUUUGUGGCUCAAGCCCGCCCCAGCCUCAGGGGCGGGGCACAGUGGGGACAGACGACCGGGAAAUGCCCAGCCUGGGCGGGUCUCUGGUGGGUCCUGAGAAAUGGAUGGGCUGUGAGGUUCAGGAGGAACUUACCAUCUGGGGAAGCAUUGUCUGCGAGGAGGAAGGCUGACCUUGCACAGAGAGGGACUCGAGAGGAUGGGUCAGCGUUGGGUGGUGACGGCAGCAGGCUGUGCUAUUGAUGUGCUGUGCUGUUUAAUGCUGCUGCUGUGUCUGGGCCUGGUGCGGCUCUAGCUCACGGGGUCCUGAGCCCCCCAUUAAUGAUUGCUCCUCCAUGCCACCGUCAGGGUUCUAGUUGCCCCAUCUGUCAGCACGUCUCUCUUCUGUGGGAGGGGACAGCCCCCUGUGCCCCGUUACCUGGCAUGCAGUAGGUGCUUAAUAAGUGCAGGCUAAAAAGAGCAUGCCUCCCUGGAGGCCUGAGGAGCCCUGGACUCAGCGUAGGGCCUGGCUGGCUCAGGACCCUCCCAGCUUCCCUGGCAGGGGCAGGCAGAGACCCUCAGCUGUGGGUGACCACCCUGGGCCUGGGGCAGACGCCACCCCCUCCCAGCCCAGGCCGAUUUCGGGGCCUUUGCACAAGUCAGGCCUGGAGCUGCGGACACCGCCCUCUGCCUUCUGGGUUGGUCGGGCAGUUGGUCAGGAUGGCUGGUUGAAGACUGCAGGGAGCCGAUGUGUCACCUGCCAUAUAUUUGAGCAGCAGUAUUGGGGGCCCCCCGGAAACAUAUCUUAUUUGGGGGCUGAUUGAGCACUUGUGUCCCAGGACCUUCUGUAGAGGCCUGGGGACGUUUAGCGAGUGAUGAGCAGCCCCUGCCUCAGUGAGCACCCCCACGCAGCUCCCGGUGUCCCAGCCUCUCCAGCAGGCGGGUGGGCGCCAGCACGUCCAUGCAUAGGUGAGGCUGGGGCUCAGGGCUGCCCCAGACAUGCUGCUCGAAUGAGUGAGGAGUGAGGCGCCUCUCAGCACGCGUGGCCACACACACCCCGACGUUUACCCUCGUCUGUUCCACGUCUCCUUUGUAAAAUUACAGCCAGCGACCAUGUUUGAACAAAGAGAAAGGCAAAGUAGAGCAAUCCUUUCGACUCCAUGGUGACAACUCGGGGAAAAACAUGAUUACGGUCUCUGUUAAAAAAGAAACUAUCUCUUCAAGGCAGGCGGAAGCGCAUGCUAGGCCAGGAGGAACCGCACAUCUGCCACAGCUCGCCCACUGUCAGCGGGGCGUUUCCUGUUUUUGGGCUGAGGCGGAGGCUGGCCCGCUGUGCCUGGGCCGCCCGCUGACAGUGAGGGGUGCACGGAGGCCCGGGGGCCUCGGGCUCUGGUUGGACAACUUUGUACGCCACUGAAGUGCAAACAUCCGUUCAGAGUGCUUCUCAUCUGACUUUUUUGUUGUUGCACUUUUUAUUUUGAGACAGUUCACAGGGAGUUGUAAGAAAUCAUACAGAAAGAUCCCGUGUACCUUUCACCCAGUUUCCCCCGUUGGUAACGUCUUGCAAAACUACUGCGCAGUGUGUGUGGGGGUGUUGACACUGAUGUGGUCAAAACACAGAACCAGCACCACGAGGCUCCCUCCUGCUUUCUUUUAACAAACAAAUUUGAUGUAUUUUAAAAAUUGCAAUGAAAUAUAUAUUACGUAAGAUUUACCAUUUAACCAUUUGUAAGUGUACAACUCAGUGGCCUUAAGCACAUUCACGUUAAUGUGCAACCAUCACCACCAUCCGUCUCCAGAACUUUUAUGUCAUCUCAGUAGGAACUCUGUCCCCAUUGAGCGCUAACUCCUCAUCUCGCUCCCCCAGCCCCUGAACCUCUGUCCUACUUUCUGCCCCCUGACUCCUCGAGGGACCCGAGCUCCCUUCUGGGGAAAUGGUGGGGUACGUGGGGCUGGCCUGGUGGCCCGGCCGUCACCAGCAAUGACUGUUAAUAUGGCUCUUGAUCAGCCUUUUUCUUGUAAAAGUGACACGUGAUGUUACAAAAACUCACGCAGUGUGGAACAGACCACAGCAGAAAGUGGAAGUUUGUUGUUGGCGAGAGCUCUCCACACCCACCCUGAGGCACAGGCACCCGGAAUUUUUCGGGACACAGAGAAACAUACACACGCAGACAUGCUUUUUUUUUUUUUUUUUUUUCAACGCAUCACAGGUUGAGCUUCUCUGUCCCCUUUCAAGCCUCUCUGCCUCCCUGCCCUCAGGGCUGGGGUGGGGGUGUGUGUGGACGCAGUUGGUGGUGUGGGGGUCCCAGAUCUUUUAGCAAAUCACCUUACCAGAGCUGUCUCCCGGGGGUCAACAUUAGCGAGAGAAAGAGCACUGGGUUCGUCUUGUGGCUGCUCCACCUGGAGAACCCCAACAGCGGCCAGCACCUUGCAGUCACCACCAUGCUGCACCUGCGCCCCGAGAAGUUGGGACGCUGCCCCAUCACAGUGAGAGGACACACCUGCGGGGACCGGGGGCCUUCGUGAGACGUGUUGGGCAGGAAUGGUGGCAUCUAGGGGGUGCUGGGUGAUUUUGGUCGUGCUGGAUUGAGUGCUGGAGGAGCGGGUGCUCCACGAUGGGGAUCUGAAUGCAUCCUGUCGAGGAUGUAAGCAGAACGGCAUGGCUGACAUUGUGUGGGUGGUGAGGGAGGGAGCAGCAGUCACCUGUAUUUGCCAGGGCGGGGGUAUUUGGUUGUUUUUGUGGCGUGACAGUGACUGUUUGUCUGAGUUCAUACCUGUCUGUGUAUCCUUGUCGAUGUUGACGUGCCAUGACAUUAAUUUACCCGGAGAACACCAAGGCCGGCUGAUAGCGCCAGGCCAGCUCUAGGCUGUCGAGGGCUUUCCUCUACCUCGCAUCUGCCCAGUGGGUCUGUUCCGAGUGCCCACUCUGUGCCAGGUGUUGGGGACGUAGCUGUGAGUGGCGGAGAAACCUCCCUGUCCUUGGGAACUCGCCUUCUUGUUGGAGACUCUUUUUUUUUUUUUUAAAGAUUUUAUUAUUUCCUUUUUCUCCCCAACACCCCCCGGUACAUAGUUGUAUAUUCUUCGUUGUGGAUUCUUCUAGUUGUGGCAUGUGGGACGCUGCCUCAGCGUGGUUUGAUGAGCAGUGCCAUGUCCGCGCCCAGGAUUCGAACCAACGAAACACUGGGCCGCCUGCAGCGGAGCGCGCGAACUUAACCACUCGGCCACGGAGCCAGCCCCUUGUUGGAGACUCUUUGCACUGAAUUGUGUCCCCCAAAUUCAUAUAUUGAAGACCUGACCCCCAGGGUGACCGAAUUUGGAGGCAGGGCUGUCAGGAGGUCGUUACGGUUAAAUGAGGUCGUAAGCCUGGGGCCCUGACCCGGUAGGACUUCAGAAGAGAAAGAGACAUCAGGAAUGCUGGUGCACAGAGAAAAGGCCGCGUGAGGACACUGGGAGAAGAUGGCCAUCUGCGGGCCAAGGAGGGAGGCCUCAGGAGACCAGCCAGCCUGCACCUUGAUCUCAGCCUUCCAGCCUCCAACUGAGAGAAGUAAAUUUCUGUUGUUUAGGCCGCCCAGGCCAGGGGACAUUGGCAUGGCAGCCCUCGGUGACCCACACAAGCCCCUUCCAGGCAGUCCCCACCCCUGGUCCAGGCAUGCGUGACCUGCUUUCUCUGCCUCUGCCUUGGACCUGCCUGUUCCAGACUUUCACAUCAACGCAGUCACACUCUGUCGCUCCUUGGGGUCCGGCCUCUUCACUCAGCAUAAUGACCGCGAGGUCCCUCCAUGACGCUGUGUAUCAAUAUCACUCUUUCUUAUCACUGAGUUGUAUCCCGUUUUAUGACUAUGCCAUCAUAUGUGUAUCCAUUCACCUGUUCAUGGUGUCUGGGUGGCUGCCGGUUCUUGGUUAAUGUGCGUAAAGCUGCUAUGAAAGUCUGUAAACAGCUUUUGGUGUGGACGUAUAUUUUCCUUUGUCUAGGUUAUUUACCUAGGAGUAGGAAUGGCUGGGUCAGAUGGAAAGCGUGUGGUUAACUUUGUAAGCGUUUGCCAAACCGUCAUCCAAAGUGGUCGUACCACUUUCCAUUCCCACCAGCAGUGUCAACAGAUCCAGCAACGCCAUAUCCUCCUCAAUACCUGAUAUGGUCAGACUUUACCCUUAGCCACUCUGAUAGCUGUGAAGUGGUAUCUCCUUGUCAUUUUAAUUUGCAUUUCCCUGUUGACUAAUGAUGCUGAGCAUCUUUGCAUGUGCCGUCUGUGUGUCUUCUUUGGGGAAGGAUCUGUUCAAAAAUCUUGACCAUUAAAAGAAUAUUGAGUUGUUUGUCUUCUUACUGAGUUGUAAGAAAUUUUUAAAAAAUAUAUCUUUUGGGCAAGACAUGUGUGUUGUGGAUAUUUUCCCCAGCAGGUGGUUUGCCUUCUCAUUUCCUUAAUAUCAAACUUUGAAGAGCAAAGUCUUUAAUUUGGAUGAAGUCCAAUUUAUCUGUUUUUCUGUGAUGGUUUAUGUCUUUCAUGUCCUCUCUAAGAAAUCUUUGCCCACUUCAAGGUCACAAAGAUUUUCUCCUAUGUUUUCUACCAGAAGUUUAAUAAUUUUAGCUUUUACAUUUAGGCCUAUGGUCCCUUUGGGCUACUUUUUGCUCGUGGUGAGGGUAAAGGCUGAGCUUCAUUUUUGCCGCCUUGAUUCUCCCUGUUCCAGCAACUGUUGCCUACAAAGAUUACCUUUCCCCUGUGGGAUUACUGUGGCGCCUCUGACAACACUCUGGUGAUCACACACGAGCGGGUCUGUUUGUGGACUCCGUCUCUUCCGUCUCGUCGACCAGUUGGUACUCCUCCUGCCUACACCAUCUGGGCUGGAUCCACGAGGCUUGCAGCGCACAUCCUUCAGCGCUGCUCUUCCUUUUCAAAAUUGUUUUGGCCACGAUAACUCCUUUCUGUUUUCACAUGAGUGUAAAAAAUCAGCGUAUCAAUUUCCACAAACAAACCUGCUGCAGUUUGAUUGGGAUUACAUCGAUCUCUGGUUACUUGGGGGAGAACUGACAUCUUGCUGAAACCCAGUCUUCCACUUUGUGAGCAUCAUACCUUUCCAUUUACGGGGUCCUCUGUCCCCUCCCUCGGCAGGGCCUGCACAGGCCUGGACACAUUCUGUUGAAUUUGUCCCAGAUGCUUCAUGUUUUUAAUGCGAGUGUGUUCUUGCUCUUUUAAAUUUCAAAAACCCAUCUGUAUUUUCUAAACUGUUGGCCUUGUGUCCUGUGACGUCACUAAAUAAGCUGUGUAGGCCACUUAGCCUUUCUGUAGACAUUGUAGAACUUUUAUAUAUGUGGUCACGUUGUCUGCGAAGAAGCAAUGUUUCCCUUCCGCUCCCAUCGCCGCGCCUUCUCUUUCUUUUUCUUGCCGCGUUGCCCUUUCUGAGACUCCAGUGCAGUGUUGUGCGGAAGGGGAUGAGUGGGCAUCCCUGCCUGGUCCUGUUCUUGGGGGAGAGCACGCCGUCUUCACAAUCGACUGAGACGUCGGCUGUGGGAGUCUCUCAGCUGCCUCUGCAGAUUUGGGGGCUCUGUUUCUGCACAGCCCCCGGCCUCUAGAACCCUGCAAUCUCCAAUCGCUGUCCUCUUCUUUUGGCUGCUGUCUCUUUCUGUGUACAGUAUCCUUUGCACGUCAGCCUACAGUUUUGGUUUUGCAUGCAGUAAGACAAUGUCUGCAUUUACCUGGAGGAUUGAGACCAUUUCCAUUCCAUGUAGUUUCCUGUGUGGUUGGGUUUGGGUCCAUAUUUUGAUAAUUAUUUGCUGUUCUUUGUUUCUUGUUUCCUCCUUUAUGCCUUCUUCUUGACGAAUUGAGUGUUUUUUGGGUAUUUCAUUCAUCUGCACUGUGGGCUUAUUUGCUACACAUCUUCAUUUUAUUUAUCAGCGGCUGCUCUAGGGCUAACAAUAUGCACCUGUCCUCACCUCCCACUAUGACCCGCUUGACAGACCAUGAAAAGCACCUUACACAGUCCACUCACGUUUCCCUGCCCCAGGCUUCUUGCUCUUAUUGUCAUGGAUUUUACUUCCACGUGCUGAGACCAUGACAGCACAUUGUUAUUUUUCUUUAAGCUUUCUAUUAUUUUUAAAAGAAAUUUUAAAAAUGAGAAAAAGAUGUCUCAUAUUUACUGACAUAUUUACCAUUUCUUUCACUCUCCAUUCCUUUGAGUAGAGAUGCGUUUUCAUCGGGUACCGACUUCC
rnacentral:lncRNA from 1 species